CAGAAAUAAGAGUUGCUACAUUGAUGAACACAUGUAAAUUAAACAAUUUUUUUGACGGGAAAUUGAACAAUAUUUCACUAGAUGUCAUGUACGCAAAUUUCUUUGAGAGAACAUAUCUAGGUCAAGCUGCUAAAUAUGGACAACUCAUUUCUCAUCCAAGGGUCCACAUACUUUUUUUUGAGAACAAGGGUCCACAUAGUUGGAUCGCACGAUUGCACGAUUGCACCUGAGGUGAUGAUCGUAUGUUAGUUGCGCCUGAUGUACUCUGAGGCUGAGCGCAUCGCAAUAUGAGAGAGAGACAUGACGAGAUGGAUCUAGAACAUCUUCCCCAAAUCAUUUCCUCUAGUGAAUUGACCAUCACGACUCCCCUGUCCUCUCUCUUGCGUGCUAGUGCUCGCUGCUGCAGCCGCUCGCCCGUGACCCGAUCUGCCGGAGUCACGGGUCACGCGGUGGCCGGCGCCCUGCUUCUCGUUCGUGCUCUUGACCGCCAAAGACUGAGCUCUCCCAGAGACCGAAGCCAAGACCGCGUGCCUCGCGUGCAAUCUCGAGGAGAUCCUGGCUCGUGCGGAAGGAGGCGGUCAGCCAUGGCCAUCGCUACAGCAACGGAGCCCGCGCUGGUCCGCCUGCUCGGCAGCUGAUGCGGAGGUGGUGGGAUUUGCAAAGCCCACGAGGGUGACCUCUGCCGGAUCUGGUGCCCACGCAUGGUAGUCGACGCGGCAGGACUUGCGGGGGAGCAGGUGAUUUUGGAGCUGGAGGUGGAUGGGGGGAUGGAGCGCCGUGGACUGUGCGAGGACACUGUCUGAUCCUGUGUGCCUACUGCCUAGCGUGAGCGACUUUCCUGCUGCCUAGCUAGAUGCACGGUGGCUGAACAUCUUCCUCAUGGAGUUGUAGACUCGUUUUGCUGUUUGUCCCUGACCGCAGGAGGUGCAUCGGAAAUAUCGUGAAAAUAAGGGCUAACAUAAGAUAGUGUCAAGGGGGGUUGACUAUCACCACCAGGCGGCAAUAAACUAUACCGCACAUCAUGACAGAUGAAGGAAGUCCAUAUUCUUGUCAGCUAUUAACACUGUAUGUCUUUGUGUAUGACAUUUGGCUGGCAAACUCACAGUUCAUUAUGUCAAAUGAGAAAUGAGACAAAACACUCUUGUAGCUGACUGUCAACAUGAGAAAUGAAACUAUUAGUCUUUCUAUA